rnacentral:rRNA from 1 species
GAUGAACGCUGGCGGCGUGCCUAAUACAUGCAAGUCGAGCGAACAGACGAGGAGCUUGCUCCUCUGACGUUAGCGGCGGACGGGUGAGUAACACGUGGAUAACCUACCUAUAAGACUGGGAUAACUUCGGGAAACCGGAGCUAAUACCGGAUAAUAUAUUGAACCGCAUGGUUCAAUAGUGAAAGACGGUUUUGCUGUCACUUAUAGAUGGAUCCGCGCCGCAUUAGCUAGUUGGUAAGGUAACGGCUUACCAAGGCGACGAUGCGUAGCCGACCUGAGAGGGUGAGCGGCCACAGUGGAACUGAGACCCGGUCCAGACCCGUGCGGGAGGCAGAAGUAGGGAUUCUUCCGAAAUGGGCGAAAGCCUGACGGAGCACCGCGGCGUGAGUGAUGAGGUUCUUCGAAUCGUAAAACUUUUUUAUGGGGGAAAAAAAAAUGUGUAAGUAACUAUGCGCGUCUGGAGGUUACCAAAUAAAAAAACCACGGCUAACUACGGG